rnacentral:rRNA from 1 species
UUUAAGUCUGAAGUGAAAGCCCACAGCUUAACUGUGGAAGUGCUUUGGAAACUGGAUAACUUGAGUGCAGUAGAGGAGAGUGGAACUCCAUGUGUAGCGGUGAAAUGCGUAGAUAUAUGGAAGAACACCAGUGGCGAAGGCGGCUCUCUGGACUGUAACUGACGUUGAGGCUCGAAAGUGUGGGUAGCAAACAGGAUUAGAUACCCUGGUAGUCCACACCGUAAACGAUGAGUGCUAGAUGUUUGAGGGUUUCCGCCCUUAAGUGUCGCAGCUAACGCAUUAAGCACUCCGCCUGGGGAGUACGACCGCAAGGUUGAAACUCAAAGGAAUUGACGGGGACCCGCACAAGCGGUGGAGCAUGUGGUUUAAUUCGAAGCAACGCGAAGAACCUUACCAGCUCUUGACAUCCUUUGACCACUUCAGAGAUGAAGCUUUCCCUUCGGGGACAAAGUGACAGGUGGUGCAUGGUUGUCGUCAGCUCGUGUCGUGAGAUGUUGGGUUAAGUCCCGCAACGAGCGCAACCCUUAUUACUAGUUGCCAGCAUUUAGUUGGGCACUCUAGUGAGACUGCCGGUGACAAACCGGAGGAAGGUGGGGAUGACGUCAAAUCAUCAUGCCCCUUAUGAGCUGGGCUACACACGUGCUACAAUGGCAAGUACAACGAGCAGCUAACCCGCGAGGGUACGCGAAUCUCUUAAAACUUGUCUCAGUUCGGAUUGUAGGCUGCAACUCGCCUACAUGAAGUCGGAAUCGCUAGUAAUCGCGGAUCAGCACGCCGCGGUGAAUACGUUCCCGGGUCUUGUACACACCGCCCGUCACACCAUGAGAGUUUGUAACACCCAAAGCCGGUGAGGUAACCUUUUAGGAGCCAACCGUCUAAGGUGGGACAGAUGAUUAGGGUGAAGUCGUAACAAGGUAGCCGUAGGAGAACCUGCGGCUGGAUCACCUCCUUU